GUGAAUUAGUGGCGGACGGGUGAGUAAUAUAUCGGAACGUGUCCAUUAAUGGGGGAUAACUAGUCGAAAGGCUGGCUAAUACCGCAUACGCCCUGAGGGGGAAAGCUAGGGAUUCUUCGGAACCUGGCGUUAAUGGAGCGGCCGAUACCUGAUUAGCUAGUUGGUGGGGUAAAGGCCUACCAAGGCAACGAUCAGUAGCCGGCCUGAGAGGGUGGCCGGUCACACUGGGACUGAGAUACGGCCCAGACUCC
rnacentral:rRNA from 1 species